UCAUACUAACGCCGCUAUCACACUGCCUUUUCCCCUUCACACACACACAGCAAACCCUAGCCCCUCUCCAAUUCCGGUAAGUAUGUUUUAACCCCUUUUCUUUUAGAAAAAACACAUAUCUAAUCCUUUCAUCAAAUCAAUCGGUGAAUUUUGACUGCUCAAUUCAGGGUGUUCUUUGAUAUGUCUAGUAGGCAAGAUUCAGAUAUUGAUGAUGAUUUCAGUGAACUUUACAAGGAAUAUACUGGCCCUGUUAGAUCCAACACAUCUAAGGAACAAGAUAAAGCAGUGACAGAAAAAAGGCCUCAUGUUGGUUCAGAUGAGGAAGAAGAGGAUGCCCGCGACCCCAAUGCUGUUCCGACGGAUUUUACUAGCAGGGAAGCGAAGGUUUGGGAAGCUAAAUCCAAAGCCACUGAGAGAAACUGGAAGAAACGGAAGGAGGAAGAAAUGAUUUGUAAAAUAUGUGGAGAGUCAGGCCACUUUACUCAGGGAUGUCCAUCUACUCUCGGAGCGAGUCGCAAGUCUCAAGAUUUCUUUGAGAGAGUGCCUGCAAGGGAAAGUCACGUGAAAGCUUUAUUCACUGAGAAAGUUAUAAAUCAAAUUGAGAAGGAUGUUGGCUGCAAAAUCAAAAUGGAGGAGAAGUUUAUUAUAGUCAGCGGUAAGGACAGAUUGAUCUUAAGAAAAGGAGUGGAUGCUGUACAUAAAAUUAAAGAAGAGGCCGACAAGAAGGGUACUUCUAGUUCUCAGGUGUCCAGAUCAAGGUCACCUGAGCGCCGAAGUCCUGUUAGCUCUCGCAUGGCACGUUCUGAUUCUCAGAGAUCCAAUCACAGCCCUCAGAGUGCACCACAGUUACACCAUAGGUACGGAAGACAAGAAAAGGUUGUUGAUGAUCGCGGUCACGAUGAUUUUCACAAAAUUGCAAGGGGUAGUUCACAAGCUUAUGGUAAUGAUGGAGCUAGAGGUCGAUCAAGCCUGUCAAAGUCUCCGGCACGCCCCGCUUAUAUGAGUAACUCGUAUAAUUCAUAUGAUGGUCAUGGUCAGGGCAGGGGUGUCUACAGGUCUGAUGGUUGGGAUGCGAGUAGACGUGGUUCUGACAUGAAAUCUAACCAUACUUUUGACCGUCCCUCCAUUCCACAAUCCUUAGAGAAUGUUGAAUUGGAAUACCAAAAGGAUGCCAUAGAUCUAGGAAGAAUUCGGGACAAGGAAGAAGAUGAAGAAAAUCACAAGCAUAGAGAGGCCAUCAGAGAAGUAAGAGAGAACUACAUAAAGAAAUUGGCCGUCCUUAGAGUUGAACAUGCAAAGCAAUGGGAAGAGUUUCUUCAACAUGACGCACAAAGGAGGCAACAACGGGCAGGACAACAUAUGCCAGCCUCCGGGUUUGGGGGUUACAAUCAACACAGUUAUCAAGAGUAUGAGAACUCUGCAGGUAAUCCACAUUAUUCUGGACCCAACAUACCAAUGGAACCACGGGAAAGGUUUCCAAACCCUAUGGAUAACUACCAUCCAUCGAGGCCACAUGACAGUUAUGGGGACUUUCAGCGUCAGAGGCGUGAUGAUUUUGGGAAAGCCUAUAAUCGAUACUAAAUGGGCAGAUUGGAGUUUUUUGUGGUUUGUGGGCCCUGUUCGUCAUAAAAUGUGUUCUUUAAGGAUGCAAGUUGGUGGAGUCUGAGGGUUCACUGCAAUGAAUCAGUCUGAGCAAGUUCUGUUUGGAUAUAUAGAAAGAUCAUGAGAGAUGCCGAGUAUGGUACCUUUUGUAAAGACAAUUGAAUCAGGGUUCUUAUUUGGAAUUAUGGCGGUAUAUUUAUCUAGACUAGUGAAGUUUGAGCUCUGGCAUGAGAUUUGGAAAUUCUGAAUAUCAUGGUAUAGUUGCCUACUUUUCCGUUCUUUCAAUAGCGCAGAUGCUUUGAGAAGCUUUUCAUCAAAUGAUGAGUGAUAUAAUUUUCAUAAUGCUGGUGAUUUUAGAGAGUAAUGUUCUCUUCGUCAUAAA